AGGCUUUUGUGGAAGCUAUUUGGCGGAGUUGGACCAGUCAAUGGACCACUGUAAUGAUGGAUUGCCAACAUAUAACUCCAGCCCCUACCACGCUAUGCCAUUAGAGAAAGCAAGGAAUGACGGCGGUGCCAGCUAUGCACAUGGCUCAAGAUUAGCUGACUUCAGCGCAC